rnacentral:rRNA from 1 species
AUGAACGCUGGCGGCGUGCCUAACACAUGCAAGUCGAACGAAGCACCUUACCUGAUUCUUCGGAUGAAAGUUUGGUGACUGAGUGGCGGACGGGUGAGUAACGCGUGGGUAACCUGCCCUGUACAGGGGGAUAACAGCUGGAAACGGCUGCUAAUACCGCAUAAGCGCACGAGGAGACAUCUCCUUGUGUGAAAAACUCCGGUGGUACAGGAUGGGCCCGCGUCUGAUUAGCUGGUUGGCAGGGUAACGGCCUACCAAGGCAACGAUCAGUAGCCGGUCUGAGAGGAUGAACGGCCACAUUGGAACUGAGACACGGUCCAAACUCCUACGGGAAGCAGCAGUGGGGAAUAUUGCACAAUGGGGGAAACCCUGAUGCAGCAACGCCGCGUGAGUGAAGAAGUAUUUCGGUAUGUAAAGCUCUAUCAGCAGGGAAGAUAAUGACGGUACCUGACUAAGAAGCGCCGGCUAAAUACGUG